rnacentral:rRNA from 3 species
GGUUGAAGGUUGGGUAACACUAACUGGAGGACCGAACCGACUAAUGUUGAAAAAUUAGCGGAUGACCUGUGGCUGGGGGUGAAAGGCCAAUCAAACCGGGAGAUAGCUGGUUCUCCCCGAAAGCUAUUUAGGUAGCGCCUCGUGAAUUCAUCUCCGGGGGUAGAGCACUGUUUCGGCUAGGGGGCCAUCCCGGCUUACCAACCCGAUGCAAACUGCGAAUACCGGAGAAUGUUAUCACGGGAGACACACGGCGGGUGCUAACGUCCGUCGUGAAGAGGGAAACAACCCAGACCGCCAGCUAAGGUCCCAAAGUCAUGGUUAAGUGGGAAACGAUGUGGGAAGGCCCAGACAGCCAGGAUGUUGGCUUAGAAGCAGCCAUCAUUUAAAGAAAGCGUAAUAGCUCACUGGUCGAGUCGGCCUGCGCGGAAGAUGUAACGGGGCUAAACCAUGCACCGAAGCUGCGGCAGCGACACUGUGUGUUGUUGGGUAGGGGAGCGUUCUGUAAGCCUGUGAAGGUGUGUCGUGAGGCAUGCUGGAGGUAUCAGAAGUGCGAAUGCUGACAUAAGUAACGAUAAAGCGGGUGAAAAGCCCGCUCGCCGGAAGACCAAGGGUUCCUGUCCAACGUUAAUCGGGGCAGGGUGAGUCGACCCCUAAGGCGAGGCCGAAAGGCGUAGUCGAUGGGAAACGGGUUAAUAUUCCCGUACUUGGUGUUACUGCGAAGGGGGGACGGAGAAGGCUAUGUUGGCCGGGCGACGGUUGUCCCGGUUUAAGCGUGUAGGUGUGUGUUCCAGGUAAAUCCGGUUCACUUUAACACUGAGGCGUGACGACGAGGCACUACGGUGCUGAAGCAACAAAUGCCCUGCUUCCAGGAAAAGCCUCUAAGCAUCAGGUAACAUCAAAUCGUACCCCAAACCGACACAGGUGGUCAGGUAGAGAAUACCAAGGCGCUUGAGAGAACUCGGGUGAAGGAACUAGGCAAAAUGGUGCCGUAACUUCGGGAGAAGGCACGCUGACACGUAGGUGAAGUGAUUUACUCAUGGAGCUGAAGUCAGUCGAAGAUACCAGCUGGCUGCAACUGUUUAUUAAAAACACAGCACUGUGCAAACACGAAAGUGGACGUAUACGGUGUGACGCCUGCCCGGUGCCGGAAGGUUAAUUGAUGGGGUCAGCGCAAGCGAAGCUCCUGAUCGAAGCCCCGGUAAACGGCGGCCGUAACUAUAACGGUCCUAAGGUAGCGAAAUUCCUUGUCGGGUAAGUUCCGACCUGCACGAAUGGCGUAAUGAUGGCCAGGCUGUCUCCACCCGAGACUCAGUGAAAUUGAACUCGCUGUGAAGAUGCAGUGUACCCGCGGCAAGACGGAAAGACCCCGUGAACCUUUACUAUAGCUUGACACUGAACAUUGAGCCUUGAUGUGUAGGAUAGGUGGGAGGCUUUGAAGUGUGGACGCCAGUCUGCAUGGAGCCGACCUUGAAAUACCACCCUUUAAUGUUUGAUGUUCUAACGUGGACCCGUUACCCGGGUUGCGGACAGUGUCUGGUGGGUAGUUUGACUGGGGCGGUCUCCUCCUAAAGAGUAACGGAGGAGCACGAAGGUUGGCUAAUCCUGGUCGGACAUCAGGAGGUUAGUGCAAUGGCAUAAGCCAGCUUGACUGCGAGCGUGACGGCGCGAGCAGGUGCGAAAGCAGGUCAUAGUGAUCCGGUGGUUCUGAAUGGAAGGGCCAUCGCUCAACGGAUAAAAGGUACUCCGGGGAUAACAGGCUGAUACCGCCCAAGAGUUCAUAUCGACGGCGGUGUUUGGCACCUCGAUGUCGGCUCAUCACAUCCUGGGGCUGAAGUAGGUCCCAAGGGUAUGGCUGUUCGCCAUUUAAAGUGGUACGCGAGCUGGGUUUAGAACGUCGUGAGACAGUUCGGUCCCUAUCUGCCGUGGGCGCUGGAGAACUGAGGGGGGCUGCUCCUAGUACGAGAGGACCGGAGUGGACGCAUCACUGGUGUUCGGGUUGUCAUGCCAAUGGCACUGCCCGGUAGCUAAAUGCGGAAGAGAUAAGUGCUGAAAGCAUCUAAGCACGAAACUUGCCCCGA